rnacentral:rRNA from 1 species
UACGAAGGUCCCAAGCGUUGUCCGGAAUCACUGGGCGUAAAGGGCGCGUAGGCGGCCUGGCAAGUGGAAGGUGAAAUCCCUCGGCUUAACCGAGGAACUGCCUCCCAAACUGCUUGGCUUGAGACCAGGAGAGGUGAGUGGAAUUCCCAGUGUAGCGGUGAAAUGCGUAGAUAUUGGGAGGAACACCAGUGGCGAAGGCGGCUCACUGGACUGGUACUGACGCUGAGGCGCGAAAGCGUGGGGAGCAAACGGG